rnacentral:rRNA from 1 species
CCAGACUCCUACGGGAGGCAGCAGUGAGGAAUAUUGGUCAAUGGGCGCGAGCCUGAACCAGCCAAGUCGCGUGAGGGAAGACGGCCCUAUGGGUUGUAAACCUCUUUUGUCGGAGAACAAAACCCGGGACGUGUCCCGGACUGCGUGUAUCCGAAGAAAAAGCAUCGGCUAACUCCGUGCCAGCAGCCGCGGUAAUACGGAGGAUGCGAGCGUUAUCCGGAUUUAUUGGGUUUAAAGGGUGCGUAGGCGGUCCGAUAGGUCGGCGAAAAAAUUGGGGGGCCCAACCCCCUCGAGCCGUUGAAACUGGCAGACUUGAGUUGGCGAGAAGUACGCGGAAUGCGCGGUGUAGCGGUGAAAUGCAUAGAUAUCGCGCAGAACUCCGAUUGCGAAGGCAGCGUACCGGCGCCAGACUGACGCUGAGGCACGAAAGCGUGGGGAUCGAACAGGAUUAGAUCCCCUAGUA